rnacentral:other from 1 species
UGACCCCUGCGAUGCUCGUAUAGAAAGUAGGUGUUUGAAAGAACCGAUACCCGUACUCAGGGAAAUCAGGCCUUGAUGGAUCGGAAAAGCCUACGUCGAUAGGACUUUCGGACACAAGCAACGAUUACCCACUUGGAAGUAAUGGGUUCUUCUCGAACGCUUUCUUACGGCAUUCGCGGAGGAGGG